rnacentral:rRNA from 1 species
GAUGAACGCUGGCGGCGUGCCUAAUACAUGCAAGUCGAGCGAACAGAUGAGGAGCUUGCUCCUCUGACGUUAGCGGCGGACGGGUGAGUAACACGUGGAUAACCUACCUAUAAGACUGGGAUAACUUCGGGAAACCGGAGCUAAUACCGGAUAAUAUAUUGAACCGCAUGGUUCAAUAGUGAAAGACGGUUUUGCUUUCACUUAUAGCUUGAUCCGCGCCGCAUUAGCUAGUUGGUAAGGUAACGGCUUACCAAGGCAACGAUGCGUAGCCGACCUGAGAGGGUGAUCGGCCACACUGGAACUGAGACACGGUCCAGACUCCUACGGGAGGCAGCAGUAGGGAAUCUUCCGCAAUGGGCGAAAGCCUGACGGAGCAACGCCGCGUGAGUGAUGAAGGUCUUCGGAUCGUAGAACUCUGUUAUUAGGGAAGAACAAAUGUGUAAGUAACUAUGCACGUAUUGACGGUACCUAAUCAGAAAGCCACGGCUAACUACGUG